GAGAAGUCAGGCCAGAUU
rnacentral:lncRNA from 1 species